rfam:TPA: Bos taurus chromosome 16, whole genome shotgun sequence.
UCCCCUCUGGUUCAGAUGGUGAAGAAUCUGCCUGCAAUGCAGGAGACCUGGGUUCGGAUCCUGGGUUGGGAA